UCAAGCCCAAUAAGGAGCAACUCAUGAACUACAACCAUUGUGCCCUUGAGCUAAGCACUUAAGUCGCUCUGGAUAAAAGCAUCUGCUAAAUGGCUACUACACCAGUGGAGCGCAGUUUGUCGAACCCAGCCAUCAAUUUUUCAUUUCUGGCAAUAAAUCGCAUAAGGACCCCAAGGUCAUAAAGUGAGAAGGUGAGGUCCGAACACUCCUACCUGUAUUCCACCUAUUCGCACAACCUGCCAACCAUCAUAAAUUCAUUUACUGUAGAAUCCGUACAUUUCUGUUUAUGUUUGUGCAAGAUGAAAAAAUAUGAGCACGUUAAGGAAAAUAGUGUAUGUCUGUACGUGCGUCUUUGACAGUGGGGGAGAGAAGGUGUCCUGUGCUGGAUACAGUCUAGUGAAGCGCUACUACAAGCAUCGCUGGAGACGAGGGAAAGGAAAAGAAGAGCCGGCGCGUUGAUUUCUCUUCCACCAGUGACAGCGCAGAGUAAUGACUGGUGUCAGUUGUCGGUACAGCCAGAGCUGCCAUCCGAAAUCAUCGGUAGAUGAAAUCAAACACAUUUCCCAGGAGGCAUGCUGUUGGAGGCACAUUUUAUCGCAUUUAUGCUUGCAGGAAUAACCUCCAGCUCAGAGAUCCAUCUUGCAGUCUGCUCUGGGCUGACUGCCUGUCUGUCCUGCGUGCCUGCCCAGGCCAGAUGCAGGAGGGCCAGAUGGAGGAGCUAAUCACUGGAGCAGCAGGCAGUGCGGACGCUUCUGAUCUAAACGUGUUUAGGUUGCCCACGGGACACAGCUCAAUGCUAGCAGAUGGGCUUCCUGCAAUACUACCGUGGACACCUUAGGUGUUGCGGACCCCUGUUAAAGACCAAUAACAGGUAACUUUAUUUCACAAAACAUUUAUCUCUCAACAGAUGUUUUUCACAUGUUUCACUAAGUGUUCUCACAGACCCUUGAAUGAUGUCUACACGUACGUUAAGUAGCUGUACAGAGAUCAGGAGCACGGUAGCUGCUGUGUGAUUGAGAUGACAUGGCUCACAGCCUCCUGUUGAGUGACGGCUGCAUUGCUACAGCGAGCAGCAUUCUUUCACAGCGAUUUGCUUUCUGCCCUCUUUAUAAAGACUGACACGCUUGGUCCUUUAGAAAGGAGAAGACAAUUAUACAGUCUGCAUGGAGCUAUGAUGAACUUGGGGCUUCAGGAACAGGCUUCGGGGUCUUGCUUGCCAGUCAUGUUUUUGUGAAUUACCCACUCCCGACCCACCCCUACCCUCGACCCUGUCUGCAGACAUGAGGUCAGCAGAAACAGACGUGGUACAAAGGAAGUGCUGCCUAAUUUCGCAUUUGCAUGCAUCUGGGAGCUUUUGCCUGUUUCACUGCAGCCAGGGGGAAACUGUUUUUAGAUAAGAGGGAGUUGAAGUGACAAAAUAAGUGAACAUACAGAAA